GCCCGGGUGGUGGAAUUAGGUAGACACAAGGGACUUAAAAUCCCUCGGUUUUAUGCCGUACGAGUUCAAGUCUCGUCCCGGGUA
rnacentral:tRNA from 1 species